GGGAAGUCGGCUGCGGACGUGUCUCUCGCCAACCGGGUCAGAUCCGGAAGGAAGCAGCCCUAACGAGUUUCGGCGCGGGUCGCCGGCCGGCUUCCCACU
rnacentral:SRP_RNA from 1 species